CUGUCACCAGCUUGACACUGUUUUAAGGAACCUAGAAAGGCUGCACUUGGCUCUGUCGUUGAUAGUAACGGCUUUUUGACACACGAAGAGCGAGCAGGAAGCUUCUCAGACACACUGUGGCCUUGUGGGAUGGGAACGGCUUCCCAGAGGAGGCUAGUGAUGUCAGGAAGAAGCAGGAGGUGUGUUUGAAGAGAGCAGAGAGGAAGGGGGAUGUGGUUUGGGUGGUGAGGUCUGUGUGGAGGACAGAGGCCACGGAUGGGCCACAGAGAAAGCCCUGAGCACAGGCUGCUGUCGUUAUGGCUGGGGUGACUGGAGAGGAGGGAGGCGCCAGCGCCCACAGAGAUGUGUGCUAGAGCGGCGGGAGCCCACCUUUUAGGAAGUGGCUGGGGGCAGAUGAUAAUCCUUUCGGUUAUUGGUGCUUGCUGCUGUGGGAGCAGGGCCUGUGGUCCUGUUUCUGUGUGUCCUUCCUGUAUGUUACUGACAACAGUGAGAACUCUGUUGUGUGUCCCAGGCCUGCUGAGAGUGACAGUCCGUAGUUGCAGGUCAAGGAAGAGGAGGGUGUUUUCCUCAAGCAUGCCCCCUUCUAUCUCAAUUCAGCUUAUAAGUCACUGAGAAGACAUUUUGGUGGUUUUAAUUUUUGUGAUUCCUGCCUCCCUUCCUGUUGUGUUUUUGCCAUGUGUUGGGGUGAAAUGCAUCCCUGUCAACAGUGUGCCCUGAUGAUGAGACAGCAUUGAAGGCCGCUUUUGUCUAAAUCACAAUGGCUGUCACUAACACCAAGGACUGGGAAGCCCAUGUCAUUCCAGGGCAGGACACAGUCCUGUUGUGUUCAUGCCUGACCUCUGUACUCUGUUCCACAUGUGACACUAAGUGGGCUGACUGGCUUUGCGAGAGAGCCCAGUGUGGGAUGAGAGCACAGGUGCGGGAUGAGAGCACAGGUGCGGGAUGAGAGCACAGGUGCGGGAUGAGAGCACAGGUGCGGGAUGAGAGCACAGGUGUGGGAUGAGAGCACAGGUGCGGGAUGAGAGCCCAGUGUGGGAUGAGAGCACAGGUGUGGGAUGAGAGCCCAGUGUGGGAUGAGAGCACAGGUGCGGGAUGAGAGCACAGGUGUGGGAUGAGAGCAUGGAUGAGAGCACAGGUGUGGGAUGAGAGCAUGGAUGAGAGCACAGGUGUGGGAUGAGAGCACAGGUGCGGGAUGAGAGCACAGGUGUGGGAUGAGAGCACAGGUGCGGGAUGAGAGCACAGGUGUGGGAUGAGAGCCCAGUGUGGGAUGAGAGCACAGGUGUGGGAUGAGAGCACAGGUGCGGGAUGAGAGCACAGGUGCGGGAUGAGAGCACAGGUGCGGGAUGAGAGCACAGGUGCGGGAUGAGAGCACAGGUGCGGGAUGAGAGCACAGGUGCGGGAUGAGAGCACAGGUGCGGGAUGAGAGCACAGGUGCGGGAUGAGAGCACAGGUGCGGGAUGAGAGCACAGGUGCGGGAUGAGAGCACAGGUGUGGGAUGAGAGCACAGGUGUGGGAUGAGAGCACAGGUGUGGGAUGAGAGCACAGGUGCGGGAUGAGAGCACAGGUGUGGGAUGAGAGCACAGGUGCGGGAUGAGAGCACAGGUGCGGGAUGAGAGCACA